GAACCUCUUUGGACUGUCCACAGCAGCUGACUAUGAUUUGCCUCAUGCUCUAGCAGAGGCAAGGUUUUACCUGCUGUAGAUAGUUUCUACAAUUGUGUAAUGUUUGGAAUUCUAGGAAGUUUUCAGAGGGUAUAGAAAUGCUAGAGCUCCUUUAGGCGGGGAGGGUGGCUGUUGUUCAUUUAAUGAGGUUGGUUGAAGUUUUUUAGUAGCAUGGUCAAGAAGAAACAAUUUAGAUGCAGAGAUUUUGCUAAUUUCUCUCUCUCCUCUCUCCGUGUUUCUCUCCUUUCUAGUGUUAGGGGUUGAAACAGGGAUUAAUGGGUAGGAAAAAGAAGAACCCCUGAAGAAGGAAAGACAGGCUACGCUGAUCAGCAUCUGGAUUAGAUGUGCCUUUAACUUACAUCUUCAGGCCUGGUUGGAUUUGUCAGGAUAUAAGGACAUUGAAAAUCAAUGAUUCCAGAACAAUCACGAGGACUUCUAGCACACCCAGACUGAUCUGCAGAAAAAUUGAAUCCAUUUCCUGGAAAAGAAGUCCCAUUCAAUGCAGCAAGAUCAGAGAAUAUGGAGUGGAGAGAUGGCUCAGUCAUGAAGAGCACGUAUUGUUAUGGAAGAGGACCUGAUUUCAAUUCCCAGCACCCACCUUGGUGGCUCACAACUGGCUGUAACUCCAGUUCCACAGAAUCUACCACCCUUGAUUUACCUUCUCACGGACCAAUGAGUGCACGUGUGGACAUUUCCAGAGGGAGAAGACUUCAUCAUGGCUAGGAAGGAUCGAAGCAGGACGAAAAGCUGCAAGAUCACAUCUUGUAACAGAAA
rnacentral:sRNA from 1 species